AUUUCAGCGUUGCUUGAAAUUAUGAGAUGCUUCAUUCAAAGAAUCUCAUUUCAUUGAUUGGCGAACAAGUGUAUCAGAUUUUGUUUUUUUACGUGAAAUAGACGCGUCAGUUGUUUUUGUGAAGCUGAAACGAGCGGUAUUGUACGUAUGUCUACAAGUAUGUUUUGCAAAUAUGUUUAACUGGAUAGCGGCAUUUUAGCUAUAAGACGAACUUUGAACACCCAGCGGUCACUGCAUUGUUUCGCACUUGAGGAGGGCUUUCCUUGAUUUGAACCUUCAGUUUAAAUGAUAAUGCCAUGUCCAAUAAUAUUGAAUAUAGAAACAUUUUCCCUACUUUAUACCGGAGUAUACAAUGCAGGAGGUAUACAUUGUAACUGGUGUUAAAAAAACAAGAAUUCAAGUCCACAGUAAAUUCACAUUUGUUACCAGACUAAAUGUAUAUAUUACCCGAAAUGAAAACUAUUCUGUGUACCCACAGAAUAUUAGUUGCAAGAUUACAAUCUUAUAAAUUCCGUCUACGCAGAUGUAAACCUAAAAGUUUAAGUGGAUGAAAGUAUUAAUAUAUUUCAAUGCCUGCAGUAAAUGCUUAAUGCAUUAAGUAACUGAAUCACUAACCAUAAAUUACCCAUGUUCCAUUUAUACAUACACCUACAUUUUCGGAUAUAUAUUGUUCGUAAUUUAGGUACGUUGUUACAGCUAGUAAUUUGAACAUAUUAAGAGUUUCAGAUAUAUAAUAUAGAUAUAAUUCCUGUGGCUAAUACGUACUGGCAAAUAAGUAAUUCAGAUGAAAACAAGAGAAAUUAAGAAAGAAUUUCCGAAUUUUUUCCACAGCAUGACUGAAAACGUAAAACAAACCUACUCUAUGCUCCCGCUUACUGGUGAAGAGUGGUCAAUACAGGCCUGUUAAGCUGCUUAACGACAAAAAGCUGUGAAAUGGUACUGUUGUGCUCUGGGUGUUGCUUCGGUACUUGACGUUUUUAUCUGUCUCUAUUGCCCAGUUUAAAACUUACGCGCUGAGAAAUUGUGACUUCACUGUCAUUGACCACGACGGGCUCUAGGUAUAAAAGUAGGAAAAACCAAAAGUAGUGACAAAUUCUGACAAUGAGAUGUGCGAAUGUUGGCGGGGCCACUGACGUCACGCCUGUGCGGGGAGCGGCUUCCCUUAGCAGUUGCAAUAAGGCGCCUGCGUGAGGAAAGCACGGUGCGGUAGUGGGAACUCGGGUCAUUCGGGUAACGUGCUGUCACCGUGACAUGCGGGAAACCGUAGCCCUGUGGGCGAAGGUGCGUGGCAACUUGGUAAUUUUACGCGCGGCGGAGGGACUAUUUGACAAGCGGAGGGAUCGUGCGGGCUCCCCGGGGGGUGAAGCGGCUGCAAAGCCAUGUGCUUCUUUGUUUACAAAAACAGCGGCCAGUCGAGAACUGAGGUGACGCGCUUCUUGAUUUUAUUUCGUAUUUUAGGGUAAAUUCGCAUAGAGUCGCAACCGCGCUAAAUGCGAAACUCAACGUGGCUGGCCUAUAGUCCAAUUUAGACGAAAGGAUUUGGAUUUAUUAUCCUCCACCACAUCACAACUACCACCAAAGGGGAGCGAGAGAAACUGAUUGCCAUGAGGCGAAUGGAUCAAUUCUAUACACCGGCCUAGAGGGAUCUGUCGGGGAACCAGACUUGGUCGUAAGUAGACGUUUGGAUGGGACGAGAAGUACACGUUCAAGGCCUGAAGAUUGAAGGAAAGCGAGCUACCCCUGCGAUGGAUCCCAACAGUGGGUGAAAAUGCGUCCAACAAAGAGAUGGAGUGCACGGGGGCAUUGUAUAGAAGCUGCCUCACAGAUCCCCGCUGUUGCCUUCCACAGGCAGGAACGUCGAUGUCCCUGAACAUGGCCAACCCCACAUGGAGCGGAAUGUCCUGACCUGCUGACCCAGGACCAGCCGGUGCUGUGUUCACGUUCAAGUGAGGUGACCGAGGCUCAACCAAUAACAAUGAUUAGCUGGUGUUGAGAGGCGGAGACUUGGGCAUUUGCCAGCAAUCCCAGAGGGCAUUGCACUUGUCUCGGUCUGACAGUGCCGGCACACUGCACAGCUCCUUGGGGUUGUGGGAGGUCGUCGUCUUUUGAAAUGGUUGUGGAACCUAAACCCUCUCCUGUAGGAGAAAUCAGAUACUAGGUGAAAGAAGUAAAUGUAAUUGAUAACCUGUUGAUGAGUUUUGUCAGAUUGUCCUUUUAAUUCUUCCCUUUACUUCCUUAGGGCCCAGAAGCUGGUCAGUGUUGACAUCUGUCCAAUAGGAGCAGGCGAUACUGGUCCUGCAAUUUCACCUGCUCAGUUUCUCAGCAGUCCUGGACUGGAUAAAUAGGGAAUGUCAGCCAGGUUGAGGGGGGAAUUGCUGAAAUUGUAAUGCCUUCUCUCCUAGGAGGUGGGAUUUGUUAUGAACAUGAGUGUGGCUCUUAAAACAGAGAACAAGUGUUACAAGGGGUGGGCAGCAGUGAAACUCAAAGCUUGUGGUUCUUUUUAUUUGUAUUCUGUAGAUUUAACACACUACAUGGCUUAAAGGUACACUUCAGAAAGUAAAAGUGGGUGAAAUAAUGCUAAUUUCGGUUGAUUUAAAUUUUUAUGAUGUCCAUGUCAUUAUCACAAUAUCAGAUAGCCUUGGCUGUGUAUGACUGUGCUGUGAUUAUGUGUCUCUUGUAGUAUAUGUGCACCACCAUCCCCAUUAAUGAUGAAGCACCAUAUGUGAUGCUGUUUUCUGAAAGUAACUAUAUAUAUCCAUAAUGCAAAGAUGAAAAUUCGGUGUGUUAAAAGUGAAACCACGGUCAAGAGAGAACUGAUGGUGCUGCACUCCGAACAUUGACGCAUUGCCCUCUACCACUCAACCUACAUCUAACGCUCCAGCUAAAUUUAAACUUGAUAGUAAGUCUGAUUAUUUCAUAGCACGUAACCAAUUUUAUGUGUUCCACAGUUUGAGCUUUUCUUUCUGGAAUAGUUAUUCCACAUGUCAAAGCAGUAUAAUCUGUACGGUACCUCUGAAUAAAAUUAUCAUCACUGGAUA